AAGCAAAGCAACGUGAACAGACGGAGCAUAAAAUGUCCAUGUUAAGCACUAGAUGACAAAAAAUGCCAUUUGUUUGUGCACUCACUGUCUGUCGAUAAAGUAGCCAUAAUGACACUUGAUUUGAAUUAGUUUUUUUUUUACCAGAGAUGUUUACUCCAUCCUCUGUCACUGACAUGUGCCGUGUUCAGUGGCGUGCGGCGUGGAACACCUGCGUGUUGUUGUAAUUACUUUGAUUAUACCUACUAUGGGGUAUUACAGCAGUCUGGAGUGAGGGUCCAAUUUAACCUGCAGUGAAUUUCAAUUGUAGCUGAAAACAAGGGAAAAAAUUGCUUUCUGGAAUAUUUGAUCAGCGGAGAGGUAUUCAUAUGGUUACACGCUGCGAGUCCCUGUGUGUGUGCGCGUGUUUUUUUUUUUUUUUCAAAUUUCAAUGAAUUCAUAGUUAUAGAAACAAACGCUGUAGGUGCUGUAUAACUUUUUUUUUU